UACAGAGGGGCAAGCGUUAUUCGGAAUUAUUGGGCGUAAAGGGCGCGUAGGCGGCUUGGCAAGUGGAUGGUGAAAUCCCUCGGCUUAACCGAGGAACUGCCGUCCAAACUGCUUCGCUUGAGACCGGGAGAGGUGAGUGGAAUUCCCAGUGUAGCGGUGAAAUGCGUAGAUAUUGGGAGGAACACCAGUGGCGAAGGCGGCUCACUGGACCGGUACUGGACGCUGAUGCGCGAAAGCGUGGGGAGCAAACGGGG
rnacentral:rRNA from 1 species